rnacentral:rRNA from 1 species
AACGAACGCUGGCGGCAUGCCUAACACAUGCAAGUCGAACGAGACCUUCGGGUCUAGUGGCGCACGGGUGCGUUACGCGUGGGAAUCUGCCCUUGGGUUCGGAAUAACAGCUAGAUAUGACUGCUAAUACCGGAUGAUGACGUAAGUGCAAAGAUUCAUCGCUCAAGGAUGUGCCCGCGUAGGAUUAGAUAGUUGGUAAGGUAAAGGCUUACCAAGGCGACGAUCCUUAGCUGGUCUGAGAGAAUGAUCAGUCACACUGGGACUAAGACCCGGCCCAGACUCCUACGGGAGGCAUCAGUGGGGAAUAUUGAACAAUGGGCGAAAGCCUGAUCCAGCAAUGCCGCGUGAGUGAUGAAGGCCUUAGGGUUGUAAAGCUCUUUUUCCAGGGAUGAUAAUGACAGUACCUGGAGAAUAAGCUCCGGCUAACUCCGUGCCAGCCGCCGCCGUAA